GAUUAACCGGUUAUCCGGUAGUUUGAGUUAGUGCUUGUAGUACCCUACACUUAGAUAUAAGAUGUGGUAUGAUAGUCAAUUUGACAACCUUUCAUCCAAGUCAUAAAUUUACGCUUUUAGAAUUGAAGUUUGUUCUCUGGCAUCAUAAGGCUUGUCUGUGAGGAUUUCUGGCGAAAUUUGACUUUUAAUAACCAACUACACCGUAUCAACAAAAGCGUUUGUACUAACUUCAGAUUGAAA
rnacentral:lncRNA from 1 species